UACGUAGGGUGCGAGCGUUGCCCGGAUUUAUUGGGCGUAAAGGGCGCGCAGGCGGCCACGCACGUCCGUUGUGAAAUCGCUCGGCUCAACUGGGCGAGGUCAGCGGAUACGGCGUGGCUGGAGCAAGCUAGGGGGCAAUGGAAUUCCCGGUGUAGUGGUGGAAUGCGUAGAUAUCGGGAGGAACACCAGUGGCGAAGGCGGUUGCCUGGAGCUUUGCUGACGCUGAGGCGCGAAAGCGUGGGGAGCGAUCCGG
rnacentral:rRNA from 1 species